ACCUGGCUGGCUCAGUCGAUAGAGCAUGAGACUCUCGAUCUUGGGAUUAUAGGUUCAAACCCCACAUUAGGUG
rnacentral:tRNA from 1 species